UGGUAGCUGUAGCCAAUUAUAUCUAUGUUGUAUAUUUUUGACUUGCUCCAGUUACUUAUUUCCGAUCAGGCUUGCUCAACCACAAAUUAGGAAGAUUGGCAGAAAGAAGAAGAUAAUGAGUCUUAGAGAACUUUUGAUGAAUUGACAGAAGAAUGUUUAGAUGGAAAUUUUCUUCCAGAUAUUAAAGAGGUGAAGGUCAUCAAGCUUUCAUGCGAGUCAUUCAUGCAUGUCCAGUGAAUACCAUGAGUUUGAGUUCCUGGAUGGAAGUAAUAUAGACUUUUAAAUUGUCUCAUCUCAGACUCUUUAUGAUUCCUUCAGUAAAGUUUUCAAAAUUUCA